UGCCAAAUUUCAAAGAGUAAAAACCUGGAGACCCCAAAAGUUGUUGAACUUUUUUUAGGAAGACCCCCCAAAUACAACCUUUUUUGGGGUAAACCCCAAAAUUAUUGAGCGUGGUUUUUUAUUUACAAAAACACCAAAAAACCCACGAUUUUUUGAUUGACUUGCUUAAGAUCCAGGGCAAAGCACCGCCUUUCAGAAAUCCCCCCUGGACUUCAAUUCCGCCUUUGAAAUCCUGGUAAUGUCCGAAAAAAUCCGGACUUGUGGCAGCCCUACUUUAUUAGGUUCUGAAUCUGGGAUGUAACAAAAUCUGAUGCAAAGCCUGUCUGUGUGUCCUGGGUGUGAGUUGAACACAUAUAGAACCCCUCUUGUUACAGAUGUUCCCCCCAAAAGACAGCAUAAGAGAAAAUGGCAACACAUGUCUUAUAUGAGAAAUACCUUAUAUAUGGUUCAUAUUUAGUUGUUAUAAUGUGCAUAUAUGUAAUAACUAUAGUAUCAGAAAUCUAAACUUCACUGUUACCGUUCCCAUAGCAAUCAAUCAUGUAGCUCGCUUCCCUUUGCACAAUGCUACAAUAUGGUGCUUGCAUGGAAGUAACUCGUAGGACAGCCGCACCAACACAUACCAAUGACUUUUACAUUUAUUUAUAAAAAGAACCUUUUUCUGAGACUCUAGAGAGCCAUUGGCAGUCAAAACAGACAAUACUGAGCCACAUGGACAAAUAGUCUGACAUGGUAUAAGGCAGUUUCUUAGGAUAGUAUCACCCAAUCUCAUAGGAAGUGAGUUAAUAGCCCUUAUACCCACUGUGCUUCUACAGUGGGUAUAGUCUCCAAUAAUCAUCAGAAGAUACAACUCCUCUCUCUCAAUCUCUCUCUCUCUCUCUCUCUCUGUCUCUCUCUCUCUCUCUGUGUGUGUGUGUGUGUGUGUGUGUGUGUGUGUGUGUUUUACAACAGGAUAGCCCUAAUUUUUAAACUGCUGCCCUCUAUUGUUGAAAUCUAUGGCCAUCCUGUUUGCUUUCUUUACAUUAGCAGCCACUAGAAUUUGAACAACUUUAAAUAAUUUCUGGAAUGAGAACCCCCUUUCUUUAAAAUGUCAUAAGCAAUUGUUGCCGGAGCAUGAACUUUUCAGAAUCAUCCCACUAAAAUUAAUUUGUCUGCCAGUUAAGAGAAGAGCACAAUGAUUUCUUUUAAAGCUCUGGGGUUUUGUUGCGUUUGGCAUAUCUGCAUUUGCAUCCCUAUUAUUUUUCAGUGAAUGUGAGAAAAAUGAUGUUUGACAGACCAGACAUUUCUUUGAAAGCUGCACAUUGAAUAUUUCCUUUGUGGUGCGCCCCCCUCCCAGUAUUAAAAUUUUCCAAGUGUUUGGCAAAAGUCAGUUACCCUGAUAAUAAAACUGUCUUUGCUAAAAUGUAAAAAAGAUGAAAAUGCUGGAAAUGGCUUUUGCUGUUUUUCGGUGUGGACAGCCAAAGUUGGCCUUUGAACAAGAGAAACUCAAUUUUUAAAUCAUAUAUAUAUGGAAUGGAAUGGAACUACUAUGUUAAAGUUGCUGAAAAUAUUGACUCUUGUUUGGAAGCAGCUCAAAAGAACUCACUCCUUUGAUUAUAGCCUGUUGGCUGUCUUGUAAUGACCCCAAAUUAUAUCAAAACAUCUAAGUAGUAAAGCCACAAUAGUCUUUAACUCCCAGCCAAGAGAGAGACUUUUCUCCCUCUCAGAUGCUUGGAAGCAUCUGAGGUCAAAUGGGAAGUCUGCUUAAUUUAAUCGCUGACAAAACCAUUGUCAUUACGUACUGCAUAUUAGUUGUGUGAUGGAUUCUCCUCCUCUUAAAGGUUUUUCAGUUCAUUUGAAGUCAUAGUAAAGGGAAAGAAAGGUGACUUGAAUUGGAGCCAAAAAAACCCCAAGCGUAUUGGGGUGGGUGGGGUGUUUCAUCUAAUAUUGGAAGGACUAUUUCGUCUAAUAUUGAAAGGACCAUGAGCUGUAGGGACAAUUAUGAUGUCUUGAUAAUGGAAUUUUAAACAGUGUGAGAUCGAAUGGCUUGACCUAUUUACAUAUAUUGCAAGCUAUUAAAGGAUUCCUUUGGGCUUAGCUACUGUUAUUCUUUAGAGGGAGGACAGGAAGUGGGUGAUAGAUUUAGGUUUCCUCCCCAGGAGGAUCUAGCUGGGUGACUGGAAGAGCUGGAACAGGAAUGAGCAAGCAGACACACAAACAGAGGCUGCUUCCAGACUGUCACUGUUUUAAGGCAGGAGUGAAUCAUGCACUGGCAAAUUCAGGUAGCACAAUUGAAGUUGAUUUGGAGGUCUUGCACAACAAACCUUAGAAUCAUAGAAUCAUAGAGUUGGAAGAGACCACAAGGGCCAUCGAGUCCAACCCCCUGCCAAGCAGGAAACACCAUCAGAGCACUCCUGACAUAUGGUUGUCAAGCCUCUGCUUAAAGACCUCCAAAGAAGGAGACUCCACCACACUCCUUGGCAGCAAAUUCCACUGUCGAACAGCUCUUACUGUCAGGAAGUUCUUCCUAAUGUUCUUCUUCUCCUAAUGCUUCAUGGAAAGCUGUGGGGAGAUGCUUUGGGAAGUAUGGGGUGACCUUUGCUUGACGCAAUGUAAUAUAUCCUUCCCGCAAGCAAAGGAGGAUGAAAGCUCAGUAGAUAUCUGAUGUCUUCUAACCUCCCCACAACAAAUCAAGAUAAAUGCUCAAUAAGCAGGUCACCUGGAAGUGACCUGAGUAUCAUGACACUGAGGAGAACCUCCAGAGCACAGGAGAAUCUGGAGACAAGAUAAAGAGUUUUCUUGGUGGCCAGCACAAGGCAGGAAGUUGCUCUAGGAAGAAUUUAUGGAUUGAUAGGUGGGCAGGGGCUUAGAAGGUCCCGGCGCACCUGUUUCCUUUCCCCAUCUAUAGUAGAAAAGACAAUUCUGGAAAUAUGUUGCAGAAAUUGAUUGAGGCUCAUAUAAUAAUUUGGCCUUCAUUGAUAGUGCUAAUGUGUUUAUUGCUGGAAGAAUUGUGUGAGCUAGAUACCAGACAGGACAAAGUGUUCCAUCUGUCUUUGGCUGGCUAGGAAAAAUCCCAGAUAUUGUUGAAAGGGAGAAUUG
rnacentral:lncRNA from 1 species